GCCGUUUUCUGGUAAAAGAAAGAAAAAACAAAAAACCGAAAAAACAAAAAAGGGAAAAAAAUGCGUUAAUUAUGAUGAGGUAUCUGUUACCCAAUAAUGUGUUCGGCGUUGGGAUUAGCAGAGCCGCUCUCUCCAGAACCAGAACCAUAAGGGUUCCAAUCGUCAAAUUGAGGAUGAUGAAGAAUAGAGAAGAUGAAGAAGAAGGGCAUGGAAUUCAGAACAAAGUUGGAGCCAACCCACGUGGCGUGGAUAGGUUGCAACAAGUUCUGCACAGCGCCUCUGAUGCUGACGAUGGUUGGGACAAGUGCUGGAAGCAAGGAUUGAUCCCUUGGGAUUUAGGACGGCCAACCCCUCUUCUUAAACGUCUACAUGAAACAGGUUCCCUACCCAGAGGGACUGCUCUGCUCCCUGGCUGUGGAACUGGUUAUGAUGUUGUAGCUAUUGCUUGCCCUGAGCGUUACGUCGUUGGAAUUGACAUAUCAGACAGUGCCAUUGAGAAAGCGGUGGAGUUAUCAUCCUCACAACCGAAUUCAAGUUAUUUUACCUUUUUAAAGGCGGACUUUUUCACAUGGCAUCCAACUCACUUGUUUGAUCUCAUCUUUGAUUAUACGUUCUUUUGUGCUAUUGAACCAGACUUGAGGUCCACAUGGGCAGAGAAGAUUCGGGAUAUCUUAAAACCAGAUGGGGAGCUCAUAACACUUAUGUUUCCUAUUAGUGACCAUGUCGGUGGACCCCCUUAUAACGUGUCAGUUUCAGAUUAUGAAGAGGUGUUGCAUCCCAUUGGCUUUAAGGCAACGUUGAUCAUGGAUAAUGAACUAGCUGUGGGACCUCGCAAGUAUAGGAAGUGAAAAGGAUGGGUUAUAUUUAGAAAUGCUGUGGCUCUCUAUCAAAUUAACUGCACAGUAUCAAUUUGGAGAAGGAAGAGAGAAGAUUGGGAGGUGGAAGAGAUGUCUAAGGAAAUCCUCUCUAUGACAAUUGAAAUUUUGUUUGUCUCAUUAUUGAAGAUUAGCAUGAUGUUGAACCGGAAUCAUAUGGGGGGCUUUAAUACUGACAUUCGGGGAAUUGAUUCUUGUUUUUUGUUUAUUUAUUUUUUCUUUUGUAAAUGUGCAAUUAAUUGUUGUUCAAUUGUAAACAUGAUUCAAUUGUUUAUGAUACUGACCUUUGCGCCCCCAGAAUUUAAAUUAUC